rnacentral:tRNA from 1 species
GCCAUUAUUGCUCAGUGGUUAGAGUGUUGGCCCGUGCACCAAAAUGUCAUGGGUUCAAUUCCCAGUCAAGGGCA